rnacentral:rRNA from 1 species
AGUGAACGCUGGCGGCAGGCCUAAUACAUGCAAGUCGAACGGCAGCACAGCAGAGCUUGCUCUGUGGGUGGCGAGUGGCGGACGGGUGAGGAAUACGUGGGAAUCUGCCCAGUCGUGGGGGAUAACGUAGGGAAACUUACGCUAAUACCGCAUGCGCCCUUCGGGGAAAGCCGGGGACCUUCGGGCCUGGCGCGAUUGGAUGAGCCCACGUCGGAUUAGCUAGUUGGCGGGGUAAAGGCCCACCAAGGCGACGAUCCGUAGCUGGUCUGAGAGGAUGAUCAGCCACACUGGAACUGAGACACGGUCCAGACUCCUACGGGAGGCAGCAGUAGGGAAUAUUGGACAAUAGGCGCAAGCCUGAUCCAGCCAUGCCGCGUGAGUGAAGAAGGCCCUCGGGUUGUAAAGCUCUUUUGUCCGGAAAGAAAGCGCCGGGUUAAUACCCUGGUGUCCUGACGGUACCGGAAGAAUAAGCACCGGCUAACUUCGUGCCAGCAGCCGCGGUAAU